GGCAUGGCGUUUCUGUCCAUGUGCGCGAAGUUCGCUUUUGCACCGAAGUGCUGUGAAAGAAUUACGGUGUGUCACAUCUGUGUUGUAAGAACGUGAUGAACUGUGUGCGGAGCUUUCUAGAACCUCACAAUGCAAUUUGGGUGUAUGUCAAACUGUUACACUUUUCUAGAACGUUGCGCGUCCUCCGUGUCGUCGCACAUAAGCCAGAUUAGGCCGAAGUUUUUUGCCCGUCCUUUUAUGCUUCGGGAGAUCAGAGUGCACGGAAAUCUUUUGCCAGAUUUCCAAACGGAACAGAAUGUGGAAACUAAACUAGCAGAAUGCGCUAACGGACUGCGAAGUACAAGACCUCUAAAGAAAAGUGUGGUGAAGUAAAAAGGUCACCGUCCAUCGUAAUCAUAUUUCACUCAUUGGAUGAUUAUGUUGAACGACAACUGACUCACUUUGGAAACUUCGGAGAAAGUCAACACUACGGAUGGACACAGAGGGCCAACUUCUGUGACACCCACUAUACCACAAGGGCCAGUGUAGCGCGGACAGUACUGGUGGUUGUGCUGUGCAGUGUGGACAGCUGAAACUUUUUUAUGAGGAACAUUGUGCCACAUCACCAUGGCUGGAUACUUUACGUGUGUUUCGUGCUACCUAUACAUCAUGCGAAAUUAACAUGGAAAUCUUACUGAAGAAUGGAAAAGAGCGCAGCAGGGGGUUCUAAAGAAUAGCCACAUGUUCGGCUUUUUGAAAAUGUGGCGCAGCUCUGGUCUGAGGGAUGGAAAUGUCA